rnacentral:lncRNA from 1 species
UUCCUCUUGGGCCGUCUCCAGGGAGCACAAAAGCAGACUGAAAGAAGGUUCAGGAAUCGAACGAGUUCUAGGCAAGUCCAAAGAGCUCUUCCAGCAGACCCAGGCCGAUGUGCCUUUUACCAGCUAACAUCCUCGCAUUUCAUGGCAUGGUGCUGGCAUGAUGGAAAGAUCAUCUGCCAGCUCUUUUCCUCCACAUCCCGGUGUGAAGUCCAGAAGUCUUCACCACAGAGAUCACUUCAGGGACAGAAAACGCAGUUCUCAUCCAGAUCCAACGCUUACUACUCCACAACGUUGGGCAAGGUACAUUACCUCUCUACACCGCAUUUUUCUCAUCUGGAGUGUAUUGAUGUUGGACUUGAUCCCUUCCAGCUGUAG